GGGGCUUUAGCUCAGUGGUAGAGCGCGUGCUACGCAUGCGUGAGGUAACCGGAUCGAUCCCGGUAAGCUCCA
rnacentral:tRNA from 1 species